GUGGAGAGCUCCGAGACGCCGAGCUUUGGUGCGCGCGCGCGCGCUAUCUCAAGAACCGAAGCGGUCGAGGGUGCGCGCGGCAGGGCGGCGUGCGGGGUUGGGAGGAGCGAGCAGACUGGUAGGCUGGGUGGACGGCGAGCGGCCGGGAGCGCGCUGUGGACUCCGCGGCCGCGAGUAGUUAGUUAGUUGUGUCAGUUGCUCGGUGGCGGCGGCCGCGAUCACCAGAAAGGGGACGGGACGGGCGGCAAUGGUGAUCAUUGCAACGGCGUGUGCUUCCCCUCAGGAGCUUGUACUUUCUGAAGAGAGCUAUCUGGUACCUGGUAAUUACCAUAUGGUGUGUUAUAUGACAGGUGUGUGCACAGGUGCCUGUGAGGGAAGAAAGUACAGUGGAAGGCUUGUUGAUUCAAGACUUGGAUUCUUGGCUAUGGGGGAUGUUCUGGAAUCUUAGUGAGUUACUCAAGCUAACCUUGAAUAAUAUAUGAAUCAACUAAGUUCAAAAAGAAGAAACAUUUUUUUAUCCUAGUGCUGUUGUAUUGAAAAAUAAACCACAAACAUGAGUCAUGUAUAUAAUUUGAAAUUUCUAGUAGCUGUGUUUAAAAAAAAAUAAAAAUUGAGAUUCGGGCUGGAGAGAUGGCUCAGAGAUUAAAAGCACUGACUGCUCUUCUAGAGGUCCUGAGUUCAAUUCCCAGCCACAUGGUAACUCACAGCUAUCCAUUAUGAGAUCUGGUGUCCUCUUCUGGUGUGCAGAUAUACAUGGAAGCAGAAUGUUGUAUACAUAAUAAAUAAAUAAAAUCUUAAAAAAAUUGAGAUUCAUAAUAUAAAUUAAUCCAGCAUUUAAAAAUAAUGUAAUUUCAACAUAUAAUCCAUAUAAAGCAGUAAUACUAAGACAUUUAACAUUCUCCUUUUCAUACAAAGUCUUCAGAAUGUGGUGGUAUUUUUACACUUCAGCACAUUUCAAUUAAGACUAGCUCUGUUUCUAUACAUCAACAACACAGCUUUAGAACAGAGUCAAAUGAAGUAAAAUUACUGAUUGCAAACCAAGCUUAGGAAUUUUAACCUCUCUUUGAAGGCUGUGAAAUUUUAGUUGAAAAAAACGAAAGGAGGGCUGGAGAGAUGGUGCUUCUAAAGGACCUGGGUUCAAUUCUGGGCACUUAUUCAGUGGCUCACAAACAUCUGUGGCUCUAGUUCCAGGCGAUCUGACGCUCCCUUCUGGUGUCAGAGGACACCAGAAGUAAAACACCUACAUACAUAAACAAGAAACGAAAACAAAAUACCUUCCCACCACCUCCAGUAAACCAUCCUGCAAUACAACCAGAGCUAGCUUAGACCUAUCAUUUUGACAGAGAAAUGAAGCUGGAUUAGGAAGGGGCACAGCUAGAAGCAAGACCAGUUAAGAAGCUAUUCCUGGUGAGGAAUGGCAUAGAGAGUAGCGGAGGUGUGGGUGUAGGAGAGAUUUGUUAAGUGUUAUCAGUAGAACAGGACAAAUAGAUUAUAGAAUAGAAAAAGAUUGAAUCCCUUGAGAUGGUUUAGUGGGUAAAGGUACUUGCUGCCAACUUUCUUUCAUCCCUGGGAUGCACAUGGUAGUAGAGAAUCCACUGCUACAAAUUAAAUUAUCCUCUAUUGUCUAAAUAAGUGCAGUGAUAAUGACUCUCAUAAACAAACAAAUGAAUAAAUAGACUGAAGAUUAAGGAUGAUUCCUGUGUUUGUGUUAGGAGCUGCUAGGUAGAUAGGACCAGUAGCUAAGUGGGAAAGUCCAUCUUCUAUUCGAGAUAGACCAAGGAUGAAAAAACACAUACACACACACACACACACACACACACACACACACACACACAAAAAAAAAAAAAAAAAAAAAAAAAAAAAACAGAAAAACUGAAAGGGCUUGUCAGAAAGCUAAGAAAGGAGAAUAUUUCAAGGACUAAGAAUUGUCAACCUGUGUUCUACCAUGAAAAUGGCAAGUAAGAUAAGGUUUGAUGUCUCUGAGACUAGGAGGUUAAGUUGUUUGAAAGUAAUUUAGAGCAGUUAGCUACAUUGUGAUUCACUGAGGAGGUUGACACAGGAUAGCUAAUAGUUUAGCUAAUUGAGGUUACAGUGUUUUUCCUUGACAGGGAACUCACUCUGGAGACCAGGCUGGCCUAGAACUCACAGAGAUCCGCCUGCCUCUGCCUCCCAAGUGCUGGGAUUAAAAGCAUGCGCCACCAACGCCCGGCUUCAAGCUUGCUUUUUACUAGCUGUGUUGCCAGAGUUGACCUUGAACUCCUGAUCGUCUUGCCUCUACCUCCCCAGGACUUGGAUUACCACCAGUGUUUGUCACCAAGCCCAAGCAAGUACAGUGUUUGCAAAUAAGGACUCUGAAAGAAAGUGUAAGGAAGCCAGAUGCUGAGGCUUUAAAGAAGUUUGCCUUAAAAUGUUUUUAUAAAUUAAGUGUCUUGGGCAUGCUUAUGUGGAACUGGGAAGAAUCACUGGAGAAAGAAAAAAGUGGGGGAGGGAGGAGAGGCCAGCAUAGAGGAGAAAUUGGAAGAAAGGGAUGAAGGAGAGAGGAAGGAAGGAAAUGAGCACUAGUAUGAACAUCCUGGGUAGAGAAUUUGGUCUUGGGUGUCUUAGUUAGGCUUUCUAUUGCUGUGAUAAACACCAUGACCAAAAGCAACUUGGGGAGCAAAGGUUUUAUUUAGUUUACUCUUCCACAUCACUAUUCAUUAUUGAAGGAAGUCAGGACAGGAACUCAAAGAGGGCAGAACGUGGAGUGGGAAGCUGGGGCAGAGGCCACGGAAGAGUGCUGCUUAUUGGCUUGCUCUCCAUGGCUUGUUCAGCCUGUUUGGGUUUUAGUUCAUUUCAGAUGUACUCAAGUUGACAACCAAGAAUAGCCAUCACAAAUGGAAAGAAUUAGUUUUCAUCGAGCAAAAGAGGAGGUAAAGAUUGAUGGAUGGCAGGGUAAGUAAGUUUGAAACUGAUAGAAGGGAAAGAAUUGACAGCAUGUCUUAUGUGAUUUUGAUUAGCCAUUAAGAAUGAAAGGGAGUUGUUAGAACAGAGCUUGAAGAGAGUAUGUUAGUUUAAAACAACUCACAGGAGAGACUGGAGAGCAGAGAGGCAGAUAGGCACAUGGCCAGGGAACUGAAGAAUGCUGAGGAACUGUUUGAGGUUGUAGACCUUGGAUUUAUUGACAUGGCUGUUGGAUUUCUGAUUAUAUCUGGAGAAUCUAUUCAAUAUUCAUGAGACCCUUAUCUUAUCAUUGUACUCCGUGUUCAUAAGAUGCACAGUGAGAAUUCAAGCCUUACUGGUAAGUUUCAGAGCCCAGGUUAAUACCAGCUGCUUUAUAGGUAACAGUUUGGUAGAGAUACUUAAAGAUAGUUAGGACAGAUAGGAUACUCAAAACUGUGAGAUGUAUGAAGAAUUAUGAAGUCCAUAAUAGAUCAUGAGCAGAUAACCUGGAGGGGUUACCUGAUUGGAGAAAAAUGAAGGGCAUGAAAGGAUAUCGAUACCACUAUAAAUCCAAUCUCUGAAAGCAUAGAAUGAGCAUAAAGCUGAAGAGUUAGUAAUGAGUUAGUAAGAGUACCUGCUAUCUGCUGUAUACUUUAGUACUAUGUUCUAAUCACACAGUGUAUUAUAAUCCUUAUAUGCUUGCCUUUGUCAUUCCCUUAAAUCAGUGGUUCUCGGGCUUCCUAAUGCUUCGACCCUUUAAUACAGUUCCCCAUGUUAUGGUGACCCUCCCAACCAUAAGAUUAUUUUCAUUGCUACUUCAUAACUGAAAUUUCCUAAUGUUAUGAAUCAUAAUGUAAAUAUCUGAAAUGCAGGAUAUCUGAUAAGUGACUUCCUAUGAAAGGGUCAUUUGACCCCCAAUGGGGUUAAGACCCACAGGUUGAGAACCCCUGCCUUAGAUGAAGAAAUUGAGGAUUAGCGAGGUUAAAUGACUAGUCCCAAACUGUCAAGUAAUGGGACGAGUAUUCAGAUACUGCCUCAUUAUUCUCCAAACCAUGUUCUUCUGGAGUAAAGGGAUGAGAUGGAAAACAUAACAGUACAUAGAAAGUAGAGGAAAAGCAUUGAACUACUUAAUUUGGAACUUUUGAGGUAUAUCUUUAUGAAAUGUUUGUGGAGCAUCAAGUAUGUGCUGGGUACUGUUCUAGAUAAAAAGAUUAUAACAGUGAACUAGACAGAAAUUGUUAUAUUAGAAGGUGGUCAUGCUUGAGAGAAAUAACAAGAAAGGGAUGGAGGGAUGCCAAAGAGAGCAAGCAGGCUUUUACUUUUUUCUUUGAGGAAAUGUAUUGAUAGGUAGCUUUGGCUGUUACUGAGCUCAUAGGGAUUCUCCUGCUUCAACCUCCUGACUGCUAGGACUAAAGGCAUGUACCACCAUGCCUAGCCUGAAAGUACAUUAUAAAUAUUUUUAAACUUGUAGUUAAUUAGCUAAUUAAAAUUAAUUAAUGUGGGCCUGGCCUUAGGGACUGAACUUGGGUUGUCAGGCUUGGUGACAAGCACCUUUACCCACUAAGCCAUCUCACUCGCCUGAGAGUACAUUUUUAGAAACGAUGUCUGAGAAAGUGAGUGAAUGGUGAUAGUGAAUGGAUAUUUAAAAGAGUAAAAGAAACUUGCAUGUUUCCUGAGGGAGAAGUAUGCUGGCUGGAUCCUAGGAUCCUAGGAGAUCGUGUGAAUCAAAGAGUAUAGCUAGGGACAGUCAGAGAAACUAGAUCCUAAGCACAUAGAGCCUGCAAGACAUUGCAAAGACUUUGGGGUUUUUUGUUUUGUUUUGUUUUGUUUUGUUUUUGGGAGGGGGGAGAGGAAGAGUUUAGGAUUCUUAACAGUUCUGAGCAGAGGAUUGAUGUACUAGACUUACUGUUUUUUGACUACUGUGGUGAUAGUCAUCUAAACAAGACAGAAUAGAAGCAAGACCAGCUAGGAGGCUUUCUUUAAAAAGUGUAGUUAAUGAGCUGGGUUUGGUGGCACACCUUUAAUCCCAGCAUACUAGUAAGACAGAGGCAGGAGGAUCUCUUGUGAGUUUCAGGCCAGCCUGGCAAGUUUCAGACUACAUAAUGAGACCUGUUUCAAAAACAAGCAUAAUUUUUAAUUAAACUGGGGCUUAGGGUAUAGCUCAGUAGUAGUGUGCUUACCUAUCAUAUGGAAGGCCCUGGGUUUGUUCUCCAGCACUGCUAAAAAGGGAAUACUUAAGCGAUGGUGGUGCCUUACACCAACCAGAGAAUUAAUGAAAGGUGAUUAGAAAUGAACUUGUUCUUUUCUAUUAGUAUUUGCCAACUUUAGCACUACUGAUGUUUUCGACUGAAUAAUUCUUUAAGGGUUUUGGGUGUUGACCUGUGUAUUCUAGGAGUUAAGCAGCUUCCCAGAUUUCUUCCCGUAAAUGUUAGUAUCAUCUCUCCAACUUAUGACAAUCAGAAAUAUCUCCAGACAGUGGGUAAAAUUGUUCCCAUUAUGAACCAUUAACAAAUUAGGUUAUCACCUAGUUUCCUAUAAAGUUAACAUCUUAAACACUCAGAAUAGCUUAUCAAGCCAAGAAAUUAACAUUGCUAUGAUGCCUCAACUGUCUCGUGUAGUUAUUAGUUCUUUAUCCCUUUUAUUGUGUGGUGGUUUCUUGGUCUUUUAUGACCUUGAUACUUACAAAAAUACUGGUCAGGGCUAGGAGGAUAGCACAGUUGGUAAAAUGCUUGUUGUACAAGUGUGAAGGCCUGCAUGUGGAUCUCCAGAACCCACAUAAAAUAAAAGACAGGCACAUCUAGUCUGCAUGUGGCUCUGUGAUCCUGGCAAAGAGGGUAGGGGGCAGAGACAGACAGACUCCUGGAGCUCAUUGGUGACCCAGCCUGCUUCAGUCGAUGUGUGGAGAUUAUUUUACCCAUUUUCAAUUGGAUUACUCCUUUUCUAGUUGACUUUUAAUUUUUUGUUGUCUACUUUGGAUAAAAGUUCUUUAUCAGAAGAUAUAUCUAAUAUUUUUCUCAGAUUAUUGCUUGUCUUAUUAUCUUGAUAGUGGAUUUUACAUAAUAGUAGAUUUAAUUUCAGUGAUGUUUAACUCCUCAGUUAUUCCUUUUAUUGACUGCUUUUGCUACCUUUGGUAUAACAUCAUACAUUUUUUAUAAAAAAAAAAAAAAGCAGGGAAGCAAUGGAGUAAGACAACCUGAUAUUGAAUUCUGGGUUCUACACACAUGUGUACCCAUCCCCCCCACAUACACAGAGAAUAUUUUAAAAGAUUUUAGAUGUAUUUGGCUACAUACAUGUGUGGGUACCAUGUACAUGUCUGGUGCCUACAGAGUCCAGAAUAAGUCACUAGGAACUGGAGUUGUAGAUGGUUGUGAGCCAUGUGGGUACUGGGGAUUGAACCUGGGUGCUCUACUAGAGCAACAAGUGCUCUAAACCACUGAGCCAUCCAUCUCUUCAGGCCCAGAGGACAACUUUUGAGAGUUAGUUCUUUCUACCAUGUGGGAUCCUGGUAUUGAACUGAGGUUAUAAGACUUGGCCCUAAGUGCCUCUACCUGAUGAGGCAGCUGUCCCUGAAUUCUGAUACUCCCUACCAUACUUAGACUGGUAAUUAAUUAACUAAGGACAGGGACUCACUGUGGCUCCCCAGGUGGCCUGAAACUCACUAUGUAGACCACAUUGGCCUCAAACUCAUAGAGAUCUGCUUCUGCCUCCCAAGUACUGGAAUUAAAGAUAUGUGCCACCGUUCUCAGGCUUCAUGAUUAGGCUGGAAAGUUUGCCACUAUCUUAUUUCUGCCCACUGAUUCUAACAUUCUUCAGUAGAUAUUGCUUAUUAUUGCUGUAUUGUUUUAAAGAUACUUUUGAUUUUUUUCCCUAUAUGUAUUUGUUACUUUUAAAUACUUUUAUUUAUUUAUUUAUUAUGUGUAUGGGUGUUUUUCUUACAUGUAUGUCUCUGCAUCAUGAGUGUGCCUGGUGCCUGAAGAGGCCAGAAUUGGGGUUUGAGCCCUGGAACUGGAGUUACAGACAGUUAUGUACUGCCAUGUGGGUGCUGGGAAUUAAAUCCCAGGUCCUCUGGAAGAUCAGCCGGUGCUUUUAACUGCUGAGCCAUCUCUCCAGCCUGUUAUUUUCCUACAUUUAUUAACUUGGAUUCUGUACGGAAGCUCUUGUGUGCCUGGUGUUGGAGGAAGCUAGAAGAGGGUGUUGAAUUCUCUGGAACAGGAGUUACAGACUGUUGUGAGCUGCCACAUGGGCUCUGGGAAUUGAACCUGAGUCCUCUAGAGGAGCAGCAGGUCUAAUCCAGAACUUGUGCUCUCAAUGUUUCUUGGUGGCUUGUCUAAAAAACCUAAGGAUAAACAAGAGGCUGAACCUAAGGAAGUACAAGCAAGCCCUUGCUGUCAGGUAGCUCAGAAACAGAGGUGGUCUCAGUGCUUAGGACACUGAAGUAUUAUGGAUCCAGAGCAGGCUGAGGACCAGAUAAAGGAGAUAAGAGUGGCCAUGUGCUGAGGGAGACUGCAGAACCAAGGCUUUCAUAUUCCCCAGUUUGUGGUGAGAGGAUCUCAAAGGGCCAGAGGAAAGGCCUCAGCUGAAGGUCACACAGAGACUUCUGAAUGAUGC
rnacentral:lncRNA from 1 species